rnacentral:lncRNA from 1 species
UAUUUACUGUCUUGGAGUGAAGCAGAUGCCUUCUCUAAAGACUCUAUUUUAUGUCGUUAAUUAUUUUGGGAUGUGGUCAACUCUAAGAGGUGGCAUCAAGUUGGGAUAAAAUGAUCAUAUUAUACACGAGACAAUUUUUAUUUGGUACCUUGAGUCAUUUAAACCACCCUUUUAUAUUCUUAUUAUCCUUUGUGAAACCACUUUGAACCUUCAGACGAAAUUUUUAUUUUUGUUACUUAGUGAUGAAUCAUGUCACAGUCCUGAACUUUAAAUGCAUCCUAUAUGAUUUCACUUUGAGUUAUAUAGGUAUUAUUAUGAUUGAAUGUGGUUUGAAGCUAAGUUUGAAGUUUCUCUUUGGAAUUAUCAACAUUUUAAACUUGGGGUGGCGUAACAUGAGAACACAUUUAUCAGAAAAUCGUAAAAAUGAAAAGAAAAAAAGUUUUCCAUGGGUCUAAAAAAAAAAAAUACAUAAGGAACCAAAAGCAUCAAAAAAAUUGAUCUCCUACAAAAAAUGUUUAUUUUUGUCAAAAUAAAAAGAUAAAUAGUUCUAUUGUUUUACCCAUCUUGUCUGAUUUAAGGAAGGAAGGUUGGCAGAUCAUCAACGUUUAGUAGAAAUCCCUAAGUUGCAUAAAAUAAACUACACAAAGUUCUUAGUAGGACAGAGUCAACAUGAAUAAUAUUUUUUGUAUUUUUAAAAAAAAAAUGAUUUUUUUAUUUUUGAUAUUUUUGAAAAUAGAAAAAUAAAAUGCAAAAAAAUAAAAAUAAAUGACAGAAAAGUAAAGAUUGAAAUAAGUAAUUUGAAUUGCUUAGUCGAAAAUAUUAACAAUCUCCGGCAACUACGCCAAAAAUUUAAAGAUCGGAUUAGACAAGUGUACCAAAUCGUUUACCAAGUAAUAAAGUGCUGAGUAGAGUAUAGUACCCACAUGGAUUGUCGUUUCGUCUAAAUAGCUCGCGUUACUUAUUUUAAGUUGACGAUAAAAAAUAAAAGUGUUAAGGGUUAGAGAUUGCAAUUUUUAUCUGUUUGAAGCAGAGCACGUAAGCAACGAUUAUGACUCUUUGAAUCCCCCCUAUUUAUUUUGUUGGAUAUUAAAUAACAUUCAUGUCGCGUUUAGUUAUCUUAAGUAGACCCCUAUUUAUUUUGUUGGAUAUUAAAUAACAUUCAUGUCGCGUUUAGUUAUCUUAAGUAGACUAUAUAAGUGAUGAGGUCGUUGGAACGUUCUAACCUAGUCGGUUGUCAAGUUGUAUCUGUUGAUCGCACGGUGAUCCUUACGUGCGGGGUCUUGCUAAUUCAAAGGUAAUUGAAACAUAGACUAUUAAUGUUUCAAGAUUUCCAAAAGUAAUGAAGGUCAAUGCUCCUGUUGGCCGGCCCAUCUACGAAUCUUAGGACACUCAUAACACACUAUCCUUCCCCCUAGAUAGUUCUACAAAUGGACAUCCCUAUCAGCGUCUACCUUACCUAGAGGUCGAGGACAAUGGUCUUGCUAGGUUUAUUCUCCUUGGUUCUUGUUUCUCUAAUUAAUAAACUAGUUACAUCUUAGGAUCAACAUAUUUUACUCAAUAUUAGUAAUGUCACCUCCUAAGUACUUACUACUAGGGUCAACUCGCUUUCAGUAUCUUUCGUCUAGUUUACUAAUCACUUACUUCCAGACAGGUAGUUAUUAGUAUAAGGGUAUAAAUAUCAAGAUAUAAGCAUCCAGAUAGUAAUAACAAUAUUAACCUAUGUCACAACCUAAGUACCUAAUCUAGGGUUGCACUUCGCUAGAAUAGAUUAAUCCUAAUAAAACUUAAUAGCGAACAGAAAAUAAACUAAAAUAAAAUGAUAUUAAAUUAAAUAAUUAUCCAACAAAAAUAAACCUAGGUUCAUCUUAGAACCCUAACCUAUAGAUAUCUAGUUACACAUGAUAACUAAGACAAAAAUACUAAAAGAUAAAAACAUACUCUAGAAAAGAUAGGAGAAGAUAGAACUCCUCAUUGGCUUCCUAUAAUCACCCUCCUCUUGAACUGCUCCAUGUUAUGAACGAGAAAUUGGGAAUGAGGAAGGCGGUAUUUAUAGGUAAAGUUUCCACCUAACUUGAGGCUAAAAUCAUGGGUUUCCAGGGACGAAAAAGUCACGAAAAGUGACUUUUUCGCAAGCAACGGGGCGCCUAGUGCCUGGCGCAUGUGCCUAGAACUUUGAGGUGCCUAGCGCCUCCAAGCAUGCGCGAGGCGCUUUAGUGUGUUGCUUUGGGGCGCCCCGCGCCUCCUGUUGUGUGUCGGGCGCUUUAGUGCAAUACUUUCUUGUGUUCCUGCAUUCUUCGUCUGUUGAGGUGUUUUCUUCAUAGUUUAGUUGUCUUGGAACUUGGUUAAAGUCUUUCAAUGCCUCUUGAAUCUUCAUUUUCUCAAGGCCGAAUAAUCUUCAGAGAUCUUGUUUUGCCUGAUUUGCUUGAUUUCUUCACAAAUUACUUCAAGAACCCUCUAAAAUUGCUAUGUUUCGGGAAGAAUAGAAUUACAUAUUCAAAUAUGAAAAACAUUUCAAAUGUCGGAAAAUCAUAGGCAAUUGAUAUAAUACUCCUCUAUUUUGUUGGUAAAAAUUGUAACACCCCGUUUCCCAAAAAUCAAUUAAUUAAUAAAACAUGCAUCAGAGUAAUUUCCAAACGGGCAUGUCCCACUUCAUUUUCAAAAUUUUCUUAAAUAGAAUAUAAAAUCUAUUUAAUAAACGUUCUUCAAAGUCAUCAUUAAAUUUGCAGCGGAAAAUUUGCAUCAAAACAACAACAGCAACAGUUUAAAUCUCCAUAAUUAAAUCUUUGGCAUAAAAGCCUUAUCAACAUAAAUUCAACAACCAUAGUGCUACGUCAGCAAUAUUCAAAAUUGAUACAUAGGAAUGAAAAACAAUAAGAAAAUCCCAUCCCGUACGUAUCAGAGCCCUAGACACUUUGAGCCACCACUUCUAAUAAGCUUCAAUACCUGCAAGUUACCCAUACGAAGGGCAACAAUUCCAAGCAGAAGGGGUGAGAUUCACAAACAAUAAUAAUAGAUAUAUAAAUCAUCAACUUANNNNNNNNNNNNNNNNNNNNNNNNNNNNNNNNNNNNNNNNNNNNNNNNNNNNNNNNNNNNNNNNNNNNNNNNNNNNNNNNNNNNNNNNNNNNNNNNNNNNNNNNNNNNNNNNNNNNNNNNNNNNNNNNNNNNNNNNNNNNNNNNNNNNNNNNNNNNNNNNNNNNNNNNNNNNNNNNNNNNNNNNNNNNNNNNNNNNNNNNNNNNNNNNNNNNNNNNNNNNNNNNNNNNNNNNNNNNNNNNNNNNNNNNAUCUAAUAAAGAACACAUCUUUAUCAUGAACUCUCAGUAUCAAAUCUCCCCACCUACUCUUCCACCACCACCACCCCCUUCCCCAAUAAAUGGAUCAACACCAAAGUCACACUUGCUGAAACAAUUGAAGCCACAAGACAAUUCGACGAAGAGAAUGUACUCAGCAGAACAAGGUAUGGAUUAGUAUUCAAGGCCUGCUACAAUGAUGGAAUGGUCCUUUCCAUUCGGAGGCUCCCUGAUGGAUCAUUAGACGAGAACAUGUUCAGAAAAGAAGCUGAAUCACUAGGCAUCAGCAUCAGGAGAAGCAGCCUCCACUUCAACAUCAGUUGGCACAUUGGGUUAUUUAUUGGGUUGAUCCAUUUAUUGGGGAAGGGGGUGGUGGUGGUGGAAGAGUAGGUGCCACCCAUGGUGUGGAAGGAAGUUUGUUGUUGGGAGGAGGUGGAGAGAAAAAGUGAGGGAGAUUUGAUACUGAGAGUUCAUGAUAAAGAUGUGUUCUUUAUUAGAUCCAAUGGUCAGAAAAAGCUUUCCCAUGGUGGGAAAAAACUAGCAUUUCCCAAAUUAAAUGUCACCUAUAGUUUAAGGAUAUACUUAUUUUAUUUUGAUUUGUGAUUGUCUCAUUUUUGACGUUGUGAAUUGAAAUAUCAUUAUAUAUCGAUGAUUCUUGAUUAUUUGUGUGGCAAAUGAUAUGAUAUAUACUUGAUAUUUUGUGUGUUCUCUAAUUUAAUUUAUACUAUUAAAUAUUUUCAAAACAUAUCCCUUUGUUUUUUGUAUUUGCCUGCCUUGACUCUAUGUUUUAAAUUUCAGCUUAUAUAAUUUGUAUUUACUGUCUUGGAGUGAAGCAGAUGCCUUCUCUAAAGACUCUAUUUUAUGUCGUUAAUUAUUUUGGGAUGUGGUCAACUCUAAGAGGUGGCAUCAAGUUGGGAUAAAAUGAUCAUAUUAUACACGAGACAAUUUUUAUUUGGUACCUUGAGUCAUUUAAACCACCCUUUUAUAUUCUUAUUAUCCUUUGUGAAACCACUUUGAACCUUCAGACGAAAUUUUUAUUUUUGUUACUUAGUGAUGAAUCAUGUCACAGUCCUGAACUUUAAAUGCAUCCUAUAUGAUUUCACUUUGAGUUAUAUAGGUAUUAUUAUGAUUGAAUGUGGUUUGAAGCUAAGUUUGAAGUUUCUCUUUGGAAUUAUCAACAUUUUAAACUUGGGGUGGCGUAACAUGAGAACACAUUUAUCAGAAAAUCGUAAAAAUGAAAAGAAAAAAAGUUUUCCAUGGGUCUAAAAAAAAAAAAUACAUAAGGAACCAAAAGCAUCAAAAAAAUUGAUCUCCUACAAAAAAUGUUUAUUUUUGUCAAAAUAAAAAGAUAAAUAGUUCUAUUGUUUUACCCAUCUUGUCUGAUUUAAGGAAGGAAGGUUGGCAGAUCAUCAACGUUUAGUAGAAAUCCCUAAGUUGCAUAAAAUAAACUACACAAAGUUCUUAGUAGGACAGAGUCAACAUGAAUAAUAUUUUUUGUAUUUUUAAAAAAAAAAUGAUUUUUUUAUUUUUGAUAUUUUUGAAAAUAGAAAAAUAAAAUGCAAAAAAAUAAAAAUAAAUGACAGAAAAGUAAAGAUUGAAAUAAGUAAUUUGAAUUGCUUAGUCGAAAAUAUUAACAAUCUCCGGCAACUACGCCAAAAAUUUAAAGAUCGGAUUAGACAAGUGUACCAAAUCGUUUACCAAGUAAUAAAGUGCUGAGUAGAGUAUAGUACCCACAUGGAUUGUCGUUUCGUCUAAAUAGCUCGCGUUACUUAUUUUAAGUUGACGAUAAAAAAUAAAAGUGUUAAGGGUUAGAGAUUGCAAUUUUUAUCUGUUUGAAGCAGAGCACGUAAGCAACGAUUAUGACUCUUUGAAUCCCCCCUAUUUAUUUUGUUGGAUAUUAAAUAACAUUCAUGUCGCGUUUAGUUAUCUUAAGUAGACCCCUAUUUAUUUUGUUGGAUAUUAAAUAACAUUCAUGUCGCGUUUAGUUAUCUUAAGUAGACUAUAUAAGUGAUGAGGUCGUUGGAAC